UUGGCAAGAUGAUGAAACUCGGCUAUGAGCCCGAUAUUGUCACGCUUAACUCGCUGCUCAAUGGUUUCUGUCACGGGAAUAGGAUUUCUGAUGCCGUAGCUUUGGUUGAUCAAAUGGUCGAAAUGGGAUAUAAACCCGAUACGGUGACAUUCACAACUCUAAUUCAUGGACUUUUUCUUCACAACAAAGCUUCAGAAGCAGUGGCUUUAAUUGAUCGAAUGGUUCAAAGAGGCUGUCAACCAGAUCUGGUUACUUAUGGUGCGGUAGUUAAUGGAUUAUGUAAGAGAGGUGAUACUGAUUUGGCUUUAAAUCUGCUCAACAAGAUGGAAGCUGCGAAAAUAGAGGCCAAUGUUGUGAUCUACAGCACAGUCAUAGAUAGUCUCUGCAAAUAUAGACAUGAGGAUGAUGCACUCAACUUGUUCACUGAAAUGGAAAACAAAGGAGUUAGACCAAAUGUUAUCACCUACAGCUCCCUCAUAAGUUGCCUUUGUAAUUACGGAAGAUGGAGUGAUGCUUCUCGACUACUCAGUGAUAUGAUUGAGAGGAAAAUCAAUCCAAAUUUAGUCACUUUCAGCGCAUUGAUUGAUGCAUUUGUGAAGAAGGGGAAGCUUGUAAAGGCUGAGAAAUUGUACGAGGAGAUGAUCAAAAGGUCCAUAGAUCCUAAUAUUUUCACUUAUAGUUCACUGAUCAAUGGGUUUUGUAUGCUCGAUCGCCUUGGUGAGGCUAAGCAGAUGCUUGAGUUGAUGAUUAGGAAGGAUUGUCUACCAAACGUAGUCACUUAUAAUACGCUUAUAAAUGGAUUUUGUAAGGCUAAGAGAGUAGACAAAGGUAUGGAACUCUUCCGCGAGAUGUCUCAAAGAGGAUUGGUUGGCAACACAGUCACUUACACCACUCUUAUCCAUGGAUUUUUUCAAGCUAGAGAUUGUGAUAAUGCCCAAAUGGUUUUCAAACAGAUGGUUUCUGUUGGUGUGCAUCCCAAUAUUUUGACAUACAACAUUCUGUUAGAUGGACUUUGUAAAAAUGGGAAGCUAGCGAAAGCAAUGGUUGUAUUCGAGUAUCUGCAAAGGAGUACAAUGGAACCUGAUAUUUACACAUAUAAUAUUAUGAUUGAAGGGAUGUGCAAGGCAGGGAAGUGGAAGAUGGGUGGGAUCUAUUUUGUAGCCUCAGCCUUAAAGGAGUGAAGCCUAAUGUUGUAACCUACACAACAAUGAUCUCAGGAUUUUGUAGGAAAGGUUUAAACAAAGAAGCAGAUGCCUUGUUUAGAGAUAUGAAAGAAGAUGGGACUCUUCCAGAUAGCGGUUGCUAUAAGAUGCCAUCUUAGAGAAUGGUGACAAAGCAGCAUCAGCUGAACUCAUCAAAGAAUUGAGGAGUUGCAGGUUUGCUGGAGAUGCUUCAACCUUUGGCUUGGUCACUAAUAUGUUGUAUGGGGAGAUUGGACAAAAGCUUUUUGGAAAUGCUUUCCUAAACUAUCCUUGAAGUGAGUAAGCCUUUUU
rnacentral:sRNA from 1 species